rnacentral:rRNA from 1 species
UAAAGAGUUCCUAUAACUCCCAAACCCCUGUGAACAUACCUUCUGUUGCCUCGGCAGGCCCUGGCCUACCCUGUAGCGCCCCUACGCUGUAGGGCCUGCUUAGGGGAGCGCCGGGGGGCCCUGCCGGCGGCCCACGAAACUCUGUUUAGCAUUGAAUUCUGAACGUAUAACUAAAUAAGUUAAAACUUUCAACAACGGAUCUCUUGGUUCUGGCAUCGAUGAAGAACGCAGCGAAAUGCGAUAAGUAAUGUGAAUUGCAGAAUUCAGUGAAUCAUCGAAUCUUUGAACGCACAUUGCGCCCAUUAGUAUUCUAGUGGGCAUGCCUGUUCGAGCGUCAUUUCAACCCUUAAGCCCCUGUUGCUUAGCGUUGGGAGCCUACGGCAGCGUAGCUCCCCAAAGUUAGUGGCGUGGUCGGUUCACACUCCAGACGUAGUACUUUUUCACCUCGCCUGUAGCUGGACCGGUCCCCUGCCGUAAAACACCCCAAUUUCCAAAGGUUGACCUCGGAUCAGGUAGGAAUACCCGCUGAACUUAAGCAUAUCAAUAAGCGGAGGAAAAGAAACCAACAGGGAUUGCCCUAGUAACGGCGAGUGAAGCGGCAACAGCUCAAA